rnacentral:rRNA from 1 species
GACGAGCUCUCCAAACGUUAUUCGGUAUCACUGGGCUUAAAGAGUUCGUAGGCGGCAUUGCAGGUGAGGUGUGAAAGCCCUCGGCUUAACCGAGGAAUUGCGCUUCAAACCGCAAAGCUAGAGGGAGACAGGGGUGAGCGGAACAGAUGGUGGAGCGGUGAAAUGCGUUGAUAUCAUCUGGAACACCGGUGGCGAAAGCGGCUCACUGGGUCUUUUCUGACGCUGAGGAACGAAAGCUAGGGGAGCGAACGGG